UCUACGGGAGGCAGCAGUGAGGAAUAUUGGUCAAUGGGCGAGAGCCUGAACCAGCCAAGUAGCGUGAAGGAUGACUGCCUAUGGGUUGUAAACUUCUUUUAUAAAGGAAUAAGUCGGGUAUGGAUACCCGUUUGCAUGUACUUUAUGAAUAAGGAUCGGCUAACUCCGUGCCAGCAGCCGCGGUAAUACGGAGGAUUCGAGCGUUAUCCGGAUUUAUUGGGUUUAAAGGGAGCGUAGAUGGAUGUUUAAGUCAGUUGUGAAAGUUUGCGGCUCAACCGUAAAAUUGCAGUUGAUACUGGAUAUCUUGAGUG
rnacentral:rRNA from 1 species